rnacentral:rRNA from 1 species
GACGAACGCUGGCGGCGUGCCUAAUACAUGCAAGUCGAGCGGACCAAAGGGAGCUUGCUCCUGGAGGUUAGCGGCGAACGGGUGAGUAACACGUGGGCAACCUGCCUGUAAGACUGGGAUAACAUCGAGAAAUCGGUGCUAAUACCGGAUAAUAAAAAGAACUGCAUGGUUCUUUUUUGAAAGAUGGUUUCGGCUAUCACUUACAGAUGGGCCCGCGGCGCAUUAGCUAGUUGGUGAGGUAACGGCUCACCAAGGCGACGAUGCGUAGCCGACCUGAGAGGGUGAUCGGCCACACUGGGACUGAGACACGGCCCAGACUCCUACGGGAGGCAGCAGUAGGGAAUCUUCCGCAAUGGACGAAAGUCUGACGGAGCAACGCCGCGUGAGUGAUGAAGGUUUUCGGAUCGUAAAACUCUGUUGUUAGGGAAGAACAAGUGCCGUUCGAAAGGGCGGCACCUUGACGGUACCUAACCGAGAAAGCCACGGCUAACAACGUGCCAGCAGCCGCGGUAA